UUUGAGCUAAAAAUUUGUCCAAAAAAUUAAGAUGUGGCUCCAAUCAUUACUAUGAAUAAAAUCACUUAUUUACUCCCUUUGAUUUGGAUGUGCUGACUUCAACUCUCUAUAACUUCUUCAUUUAAAUUCCAAAUUCAUCAAAUAAUACAUGAAAAGUGUAGUCAAGAAAGUGCUCUCCACGCUUAGUUACUGAUCCUUUGUUGCUCUUUGUAAACAUAUGUUAUGCUCCAAAAAGUGACAAUAGAUAUGAAAUUGACAUCUUAACUUUGAGUGCCAAUAAGUCCAUAAAAAAUCCAAAUCAUACAAAAUUUACAUCCAA
rnacentral:lncRNA from 1 species